UGCUUCUUGGUGGCUCUAUCUUGAGAAUUCUUAAUUCUAUACCAAGCAUCUUUCAAACUUUAUCCAACCCUUUGUUUGAAGGUGAGAAUCUCUCCUUCGGGUGCAACACUAGAGGCAAAGGAUUUAGGCAUACUAACAAAGCAAAGUAACUAAUUUUUCUGUGGUUUUUGGGUAUAGGACCGUAAAGAAAAAACUAGAAAGCAAACUAACAAGACUAAAAAGCAAAGGUAAAAUAUAGUGUGCAACUCCCCUAUCUUGAAGAGUGGAGUCCCUAGCAAUGGCGCCAGAAAUUCGCUUGAUGACGAGGUGUUGUAUAUGCUUCUCGCCCCUCGUUGGACCCCAAGUGGAAGGUGGAGAUGUAGUCAACAACAAAUUUCCCUUACACGGAGACUGUAAGGUUUAUCGAACCAGGAGGACUCCUAGGCUCAACAAGUAGGUGUCUUCCACCCUGGCGCUAGCAAAAGACGUGGACCUGCACACACAACAAAUAACUUUGAUCCCAACGAGUACAGAGAGGUUGUCAAUCUCUCCGACCUUGUAGUUUGCAAAGGAUCAAAACACAAGCGAGAAGGUAAUAGUGAUUACAACGGAAAAGUAAAUAAAGUGGUAAAUAGUGGAGGUGUAAGCAAUGAUGGUGAUCUGGACCGGAGUCACAUGACGUUCACUAGUGAUGUCUCUCUCCCAAAAGACGAUAAACAACUAUGCUAGGGUGAACAAAUAACAGUUGGGCAAUUGACUGAAUUAUGAUCGCAUCGCAAUGCUAAUUAUGCUCCUUGAUAGUUAGAGGUUCAAUAGUAAUGGGCAAUACGCCGAGACAAGUAGACCGUUUAUUCAUCAGCAUCUACUUAGUAAUCAUCCACCUUGAGAUAUAUAUCGAGAACAUCUCUCUGGUAUUAAGUUGCGAGCCCCACCCAAAGUGUAAACUCAAAGCAACGGACAACUGCAUUAAUGAACUAUGCAUAAGGUAAACAAUCCUUGCAACCUUGGUCACAAGCACCGUUGUUUUCUCCCUGGUGGCAACAAGCACAUCCCCCUACUCUCAUGUUUCGGUCAGUCAAGCUAGACAUUGAGGGGCCCGAACCCACAAUCAUGCAUAAUGCUCCCGCUUGGAGUUACGAUCUACUACUUGGCCAAAGCAAUAAAAAGCAACGGAGAACAUUCAAGAAUCACUAAGGAACAUAAUAUAAAAGGAUAAUCAAAUAUAUAACUCAUAAAAAUCUGAACAUAAUCUCAUAAUCCAUCGGAUCCCAACAAACAGAGCAUAGCAAUAGCAAGAGAAUUACAUAGAGGCCUUGAUCAUGUAGGGCAGCUCACAAGGACUAACCAUUGAAGCACAAGAUUGGAGAGAAUACAUCACAUAGCUACUGGCCAUGGACCCAUGGUCCAAGGGAAACUACUCACGGCAGAUCCGGGAGGCGUCCAUGGUGGUGGAGAAGCUCCCGGAGGUCAAUCCUCCCUCCGGCAGGGUGCCGGGAACAGGUCUCCUGACGCUCCCGAUCUCGAAAGCGCUGCGGCACCGGAACGAUGGAGAAAUUUGCGAUUCCAGAUAGUCUGCGAGGGUUUCCUCAUAGAACACUAAAUAUAGGCCAAAGAAGGGCACCGGAGGAGGUGGGGCCCACCCAGGCGACCUCCUGGCGUGGCCUGGGGCCUGGCCGCACCAGCAGGCCGCCUGGUAGGCCCGUGGCCCCCCUAUGGACCUCCCUCAGUGACCCCGAAUCUUCUGCUUCGCUGAUUUUUUAUAUGUUUUUCUGGAUUUUUUUUGGGCUUCGGAAAAUCGGGUAAAAGCCCUUGCAAAAAAGACAUUAGCAGACAGAAACUGGCACUGGGUGCACUCAGUUAGUAGGUUAGUCCAAAUAUGUGUAAAAUGAUAUAAAAGUNUACUCCACAAUGCCCUUGUCUAUGUGUGAAUUUGGCAUAUCUGUUCUACUUUGUGUCAUUAUGUCAACACAAUAUAAUCUCUUAUAUUGUGUGUCCUGUUAUGGUCAAUUGCGUGAACUGAUGACAUGGCCAUUUGUUCAUCUAGUUAUCCCUUUAUUUAUAACUUACUCUAUUUUUUAAAGCAUAUUAUGCGUUCAGAUAUGAAGUCCGCCUCUCGUGUUUUGGUCACACUCCGCCACUGGUCAAGAUUGUUAUGAUAAUCAUGUGGUCUAUAAUAUUCUUCAUGCGCCAUCGCGUCCUGUGGCCGCAACACUCCUCUAAAGAUAAAGGCCUUCGAUAAGGCCAGACAAUAUAUUUUUUGGAUCUGCUAAGUUAGAAUGAACGAUUAUGAUAUUUUCAUGUUAAAUAUGUUUACUUCGUGAUGUAUGUUUUGUCACUUGUCACUAUAUACAUUGUUUUCCAUUCCUUAAUUGUUAUGCAAUAUUAAAUACUAUACUUUAAAAAUAAUUAGCAUAGUUAAGAAUGUCAUAACCCGUCUUGUAAUACAUAACUUUUGAUGGAUUGUCAUAUUUAUCAUUGCCAUAUUCUUUUCAUGUUGAAAAUAUAACUCUAUUUUGUCCCAAAUGUGUUUCACUUUUAGCUUUGGUUUGGGACAUUCAAUAAAAUGUCUUGUUCAAGAUGGAUUUCACCCCAAAAAUUUGAUUUAUGUUUUUAAUCCAAUCAAAGAGAAAGUAUUGUCCUUUUCUAUGUUGUGCAUGUUUAAAACAUAGAAGUUUGUGUAAUUUGAUAAUUCAUACAAGGAGCUGAAAUAUUUGCAGAAACUAUGGAUCAAAGAGACUUGGAAAAAGAAUAGUUGUUGGGUGAGAUAAUCUUCACCGGAGGUGAUGUCUUGUCGUAUCUCAACGACACCGAUGGUCUGGAAGGAGAGGAUGACGGCUCGGGUGAACGAACAAUGAAGGAGGAAGGACAUGAUCAUGAUGGCUCCGGUGACCGAAUGUCGGCGGAAGAAGAUGACCAUAAUGACGCCUCCGGUGACCGAACGGAGGAGGAUGCUGUUGCAAAGUCCGGUGAGGUAUAUAUAUUACAUAAGCCUGUGCUGACUAGCUAAUUGACGCAUUAAUUAUUUUGGUAUGUACAUAUAUUAACUCUUCUUUCUUUCUUUAUAGGCCUCCGGAUUGAGCGAACCUUCGGUAACGAGACGAGGCUCGAAGAGAAGGUUGCGCAAGGAUGAAAGGCUCACAAUCACAUCACUCGCAAACGAUGGCCUACCGAUUCUACCCAAACGGACCAAGGACGCAUUUUCUGCUCAGUGCGGAGCUAUUGUUAGGGACAACAUCCCGAUCAGCAUCAAGUAAUAGAAUAAGCCUAAGGGCGACGACGUCCCUGAAGGUGAUUAUGUCACCGAUAGACAGAAAGAUGAUCUUUGGACCGCGCUGAAGGCAAAUUUCACCCUACCACCCGAGGAGGAUCCGAAUAAGCCAGUUAUAAAGCCACUCGUCAAGGCAUGUGGUCUUAAGAAGAUGGCAGAUCUAUUCAAGAGGUGAAAAAUUCAUAUGCAGCAGCGCGGCUGUCGGGAAGUACUUCCACUCAUGCAAGGUUAGCAGAACGAAGAAGUGGAAAACAAUUCCCCAGCUCGGCGAACAGGAGAAGCAAUCGUGCCCCCUGCUCAAGGUGUCUAGCGAAUCGUCGCUAAUCCUCCGGGGAUGGUGCCGGGUACCAAUCCUAGUGAUUACUUGGGGGAUGAUGUAAUUUUUCAAAAGGUUGAGGUAACAAAAUAACAACACAAAUACGUGCACGGGAAGCCUCUCAUCAAACCUGAUCAUCCUCCUCUAAUAACGAUGAUGCACAAAUUGCAUGAGUGGUACAUGAAAACCUGCAGCGAGUCUGGGAGAGACACUAUGUAUGUGGCAGUGAAACUAGAGCACGAAUUCAUUGGAUCUCUCGUGAUGCCUAUUGAAUUUGUGGAGUUAUUUCAGUUAUACAAUCAAAUGGGCCUCGACAAAUGACUCAUGACUUCCUACUGUUUGUAAGUAUUACUUCUAUAGUUAAUUCUCUAGCUCAGCUCGUUCAUUGCAUGUAUAUAUAAUUAUCCUUACUAUAUUAUGCAGAUUAAAGAUCGUUGAAUUCAAAAAAGUAGGAAUCUUCGACGUUGGGUUCAUUAGCCCAGAUGUCGUAAAUGAAUGGAUGGUACGACACUCAACCAAAGAGACCGAGGAGAACUUCCUAAAGUCGUUACUUGUACAUCAAAACAAAAAGGAAAUACUCCUUCCUUACAACUUCAAGUGAGUGUUGAUGUGUUCUCUGUAUACUCGGUUUCGCUUACUCGAGGUUAAUUAAUGUAAUUGAUGAGUUAUAUAUGCGUGCGCAGUUACCACUUUAUUCUGCUGUCCAUUAAGCUUGACGCGGCAUUACUAACUGUCUUAGACUCGAGACGUAAAAAUCCUAAGAUGUAUGCGGACAUGACUGCAAUGCUCAAGAAGUAAGUUUAGUCAAUACUGGGACCAUAUCGGCAUGCAAAUUUCGUUAAUUUCCUGAUAUCAAGUAAUAAUAUUUUUUUUGCCUGGCAAGGUUUGUAAGAAGUUUACCAAAAAGGCUCCUGGUCUAAACAAAGAGUUGUGAGUUACGCAUCCCAACGUAAGUAGUACUCCCUCCGUCCUAAAAUAAGUGUCUUAAGCUUAGUACAAAUUUAUACUAGAGCUAGUAUAAAGUUAAGACGGUUAUUUUGGGACAGAGGGAGUACUAGCUAGUUCCGCGCAUCUCUAAUUGAUUCAAAUUUUCAUCAAUAUAUCAUUACCAUGCUUGCUUAUCAAUUUUAUUGAAUUCUAUUCUCGUAAAGUGCAUGUAGCAAAAAGAAGGGACUGUUUUAUGUGCAUACUACGUAUGCGAGUUCAUUCGCCUCUCGAUCUGUGAGCGGGGCUUCUCCGAGAAACAAUUUAAAUUAUGUAAAUAAUAUUCACAAUUUUAUUUUAUAUAUUAGCAUAAAUUGUGUUGUUUUAUUCAUAUAUAUGCAUGUAUUAACCCCCUUCUUUAAAUUAGAUCUGACAGAUGUGGGAUGAACUCCUAUCACAUGAUCGCAUACGACCAAUUCAAGAGGAAUUGGCGAGAUUCUUUCUUGACCACGUCAUACCUAAAGACGGAGAAUACCAUGCGAAUUUGUGAUUGGAUCUUAGGUAGAUGAUGUUAGGGAUUGUAAAAGAUGUUAUAUUGUAUAUAUGUAGUAGCGUCGGAUAGAUAUACGAAAACUUGUUGUUCGACCAAACACGGAGAAAGAUGUCACUUCUCUCUAUAUGUAUAGUAGCUAGCGUCGACCAAGCAUGGAGAAAGAGAGGACACUUCUCUCUAUUAGCUAGCUAACACAAUACGAAACCCCUAAAUUAACCCUCCAACCCCACCCCCCCCCCAACCUCCCUUAAAAAAAACUCACCUCCUGCCAGAUGCUGACGCGUGGAUGCCUUUUGGUCCCGGUUGAUGUUAUCAACCGGGACUACAGGCCCUCCUGCCAGGGCUCCCCGCAGAGGCCACAUGAAGGCACAUCUGUCCCGGUUGGUAAGUGAACCGGGACUAAAGGUUUUGGGCUUUAGUCCCGACCCUUUAGUCCCGGUUCCAGAACCGGUGCUAAUGGGCCUCUGAAACCAGAAUAAAUGGGCAAAGUGUAAAUAAGAUGGGAAACUUGUAAGACAAGAUUGAACAAGCACUAGCUUGCUGUCAUAUCCCAAAAAUCUCCCUCUUCACGCAACAACUAUUUUGAGGAUUUUACCAACCACAGGCUGCAUGUCCUCUUUUCUAAGCUUGGAAUGAUGAAGAUGGAAGCCCAAAUAUUUAAUAGAAAAAUAAUCUUUUUUUCUAGAAUAUGCACGAAUAUGCAUAUCAUAUAUCUAUAGAAGAAAGGUGAAGAACAUCUCCAUCAGUUAUUUACAUCACAUCGUGAUACACCUCACGAAAACACAAACAACUCCACUUUAUCCUAACAUAGUCUACUCCUCCCCAAUGCUCCACCGUAUUAGACCUGCAAACACAUAAUCAACAUUUUCUUUAAUGAGCACGGCCAACGACCACGUUCUACCUCAGUCAAUUAGUCCCCGGAACGCCAAUUUUCGCUGGUUGGGCCCAUUUUUAAGUCUGACGAUCCCAUGACGAACCCAGCAAACUGGGGGCGCUUUGGGUCUCCGGCAGAAGAAAAAACGACGCGUGGGUUGUCCCUAUCAGGCGCAAAAGCCGUUUUCCUCCUUCAGAUCCCGGCGCCGUUCACCUCCCUACCGCCGCUACAAAGGCCAUCUCCCUUGCGACCAAGGGUGGGUUUGCCCCGGAUUCGCUCUAGCCCACAAGUUUGUUUGACCACUCCAAAAGUUAAGCACCCGAAAUAUGUGCUAGUUCGCUCAUGUAUCCCAGAAUUUUUUUGGCACCAACAUGGUUAUUCUCUACUUAAUACUUGACUGAAAUGACCCUUAACCAAAGCAACUAUGUUGUUAUAUGAAACGGAAACACAACUAGAAGAUGAUGAUCAACGAUGAUAGUAAUAUUCUAGCCACAGAUCAGCGAGAGAUACCAUCCUUCAUGAUUUUUUUAACAGGCAUUCGGCAAAUCGACAUAACAACACCCAACAAUACUCUUCAAAUUGAUACAAAAGCUGAAAAUUUCACGGUACCUAAUGUUACUCAAAACAUAAUUAAUGGUUUCAGCCUGUCUUGUAGAUUGUGGAGCUGUGCAUGCAAAUUUGGACGGUAGUGAUCCUCGAGGAUUUUAUGCACGGGGACUGAAGUGGAGUUGUUCGAUACGAUGAGUUUCAUAGUCAACGCGUGUAGAUACUCAGCUGUUUCAAGUUCAGCUGACAUAGUUAUUUCUUAUUUCCUGGACAGAUUUUCUGAUCAUGUGUAUGUCCAGGUCGCUGCGGCCAUGUCCAUGCUAUUUAUCUUCCAUUAUAUAUUUUUUACUAACUGACUGAGUGUUAUUUGAAUGGAAGAGAGCAUACCAUUGAAAAAUGCAGUUUUCAUUUUCUUGUACAGUGGUACUUAUAUUCAGUGGCGGAGCUAGCUAAUUGCCAAAGCCUGGGCACGCUGUAAACAAAGAUUUUUUCAUAUAUAUAUAUCAAACAUCACUAGUAUCAUAUAUUUGAAUAAACAGUAUGCGCAAUAUACGCACUAAUGUUUCAUAGAUGACAGAAGUAAAUAAAAACAAGACAUACAAUAGNNAAUAACUCGCUAAGCACUAGACACACAAUCUAACCUUUGUCUUGACGAUAAUAGUCCAAUCUUCAAUGUUCAUCGUUGUGCACACAAGAGAACCUACAAGAUACACCACAUUACCAAAUUAUAUAUUUUUCACUGAGAUUAAAUACAUUAGAUCUGCUCAACUCUGAAGUUUUAACAAACAUAACUGCAUAAUUAGAGCCGACACAAUCAAUGUUUAAAUGCACAAUUUCUUGAUAAAAUAGAGAGAUUAAUUCACCUAAUUGCCGCUUGCCGCUAGCCCUACUUGUUGGUGGUAGACUGCUAUUAGAUGCCACUUCACCAUGGCCUUGCACAGGUUGAGUGUUCGCUGGCGCUUCUCGUGCGGCCUUGCGAUCUUUCUGCCGACCUGUCCGAUGAUAAUCCGGCAGUUUGCCUCGCCGGCUCGCCGGCUAGGAGUAGCAGCGGCGCAGCAGUUCCUAGGUCACGGACUCACAGCGUCACGUCCAGGACUUCGUCUCGCCUAGGUACGCACACGAACAGGAAGCUGAUGGAUUCAGAUACUUCUAAUUCUCUCACAAUCUAACUAGGCCUUAGUGGCCCACGUAAUUCACGUACUCCCCAAGAGACAAGAGUAUAGCCCAAACUGCAUAAAAACGACAAGACAGGCCCAGUUCAAACACUGCACGUAUUCUCUAUUGUAUACCAGCAUUUUUAAGCUAUUUUUAUGUAUAUGAUGCCUAGAAAUGGUAGCUAUAGUUCAGGAAUUUGCCGCCGUCGAGCCCGGGCACGUGCCCAGGGUGCCCGGACGGUAAAUCCGCCCCUGCUUAUAUUAAUAUGAGCAACAUGUUCGUCUAAUUGCUUUAAAAUCUAUGCUAUUAAUUAAUUAGUGGAUAACUUUGUCCACAUACUUCUCUUGCCCUUAGAGCAACUCUAGCGCACCCCCAACAGGCUCCCAGGGCGUGUUUUUUAGUGCCGGCCAUGAAAAAAAUGCUAAGUUGCUUCGCAGAACAUCGAUUUUAGCUGGUUGAGCCCAUUUUUAGGUCUGACGAUCCCAGGACGAACCCAUCGCACUCGGGCGCUUUGGGUCCCCGACGGAAGGAAAAACGACGUGUGGGCUGUCCCUGUCAGGCGGAAAAGCCGUUUUCCUCCUCCAAAUCCCGACGCCUUUCGCCGCCGUGGCGAUCCCGGUGCCUUUCGCCACCGUGCCGAUCCCAGCGCCGUCCACCUCCCUACCGCCGCUAGAAAGGCCAUCUCCCUGGCGACGAAGGGUGGGUUCGCCGUGGCUUCGCUCCCUGCUUCUUGGUGAUUUUUUUUCCGGCGCUCCGGCCAUGCACGCGGCUGCGCGUCUGCCACGCCCGCUAGGUGUUCGGCGAUUUGCCUCGGCGAUGGACUCCGACGACGUGGAGGCAUUCGCAACGCUAAUGGAAGAGGAAGCCGAUGCCGACACCCAGGAUGAAGAGCACCUCAUGGUCCUCGCCGCUCUGGUGAGCCUGUUCGCGAGCAAUGCAAACCCGAGGCGAGGUGGCUCGGCGUCGGGUCGGCUGAAGGCAAAGCAGGGGCAUCGACUCGAAGGCUAUUGCUUGCUCUACACCGACUACUUCGCCGACGCUCCUCUGCACGGUGACAAACUCUUUCGGCGCCGUUAUCUUAUGAGCCGGAAGCUCUUCCUUAGGGAGUUCGAAAACUACUUCAAGUGCAAAAAGGAUUACACCGGCACACUUGGAUUCACCUCACUCCAGAACUGCACGACAACUACGAGGAUGCUUGCAUACGGAGCUCCCGGUGAUAUUCUGGAAGACUAUGGACGCAUGGCCGAGUCCACCACCGUUGAAUCUUUGUACAAAUUCUACAUGGCAGUUGUGGCAGUAUUUGGACUUCAAUACUUGCGAUCACCCAAUGUUGAAGACACUCCUCGGAUCCUAGCACCGAAUUCAGCAAGAGGAAUUCCUGAGAUGCUUGAAACUAUCGACUGCAUGCAUUGAAAAUGGAAAAAAUAUGCAUUUACUUGGCAGGGGGUGUACAAAGGCGUCAAAGAAGGUUGUAGUGUGGUACUUGAGGUAGUGGCCACACAUAACCUCUGGACUUGGCACUCCUUCUUUGGUAUACCAGGAACUCACAAUGACAUCAACAGACUGCAAUGCUCGAAUGCCUUUGCAAAGCUUGUUGAAGGUCAUGCUCCCCCGAUUAACUAUGAGGUCAAUGGGCACCACUACAACAAGGGAUGCUGCCUAGCAGAUGGCAUCUAUCCGAGAUGGUCCACAUUUGUGAAGACUAUCUCAAACCCUGCACCAGGAGGCAAGAACUUCUACUUUGCCAAGUGUCAAGAAGCUUGUAGGAAGGAUGUCGAGCGAGCAUUUGGUGUGCUCCAAUCUCGUUUUUCUAUUGUUCGAUACUCCGCUCAGACGUGGUCGAAAGAUCAAAUGUGAGAAGACAUGACUUGGUGUGUCAUCUUGCACAACAUGAACAUUGAGAGCGAGCGGGAAGAGCCCGUCUUUGACAUUGAACCAUAUUACAGGCAGGGUCCCCUUGCCCAAGUUGAUCACCAGCUACCGGCAACUUCGAGUGCCUUCAUCAACAUGUGUCAGGAGAUUCGAGACCCACAGGUGCAUCAACAACUAUAAACCGAUUUGGUGGAGUACCUAUGGAGGCUUAAGGGCAACGCCUAGCUCGAUGUGUGAUGAAUUAUGAGUUUUUAUUUGUUGAACUAUUUUGAUUUGUUAAACUAUUUUUGAUUUGUAUUGAUUUCUGUGAUGAACUAUGUGAUAGAAAAAUAAAUGAUUUGUUUAAUUUGUGUUAAAGCAUGCUGAAUAUGGAUCAAAAUUGGUCUCAUUUUGCGUCGAAAGUGAACCAAUUUGCGCUGAAAGUGGGCCAAUUAGCACCGAAAAUGUGCAGAAAUCAGCGGGUGGGGGCGACCUUGGGGGACGGCUGGGAACCCGAGCCUCCCACGUCGAUUUUUCCGCCGACGCGCCUCCAGGAGGCGCUAUUUUACGCCCCGGAAGAUCGAACGGCUGGAGAUGCUCUUAGGGAACCACAUCAUGAUGCAGCUGCUUAUUAAGGAUGUAGUUCUCCACAGCAAUCAUUUGAAACAACUGCUCCUUUCUGUUUGUCUUUCUAAGCUUAAAUGACGUUUAGUUUUGGGGAUCUAAUUUGGACGUUGGAACAUCAGGGCUAAAAUUACACGCUGUAUGUAUCGCAUGAUCGCAAUUGACUCUCAGUUUCCAUGCGUUUGUGCAAUAAUAAUUAAUAAGCUGAAGCUCAAAUUAAUACUUUCUUGUUCUGUUUGCAACAAAGCAGAAGGAGUCUCCACUGAAGGAAUGAAUACUGAGAGUGACAAAUGAUAAGUAGGUGUAUUGGUCUUUGCCAAAUGGGUAUACUCAAUAUAUUUAGAGAUAUAUUAACAAAACAUGCCCAGCAAUCGCUUGGAUGCGAUGCGGACUUAGGUAGGUAAAACAUCAGAUAUUAAAAGUGGCAUGCUUAAAAGGUGUAAAGGCAGCUGCCGUCGUCGCUCCUUGCCGUUGGGUCGUAGUUCUUGGCAUUUUGGUCGGUGCAACCUUCCGGCACGGGCAAAGUACCUUGCUGUGCUCCUUUACCUGCAAUUUAAUUGUUUUGGACGACGUGAUGAGAAGAUGAGCUUGAUAUGCCGGCGGAAGAGCAGGUAAGAAAAACAGGCCUCCACUCCCUUUUUUUUUCCGAAGUAAGAAAGUGAGAAAGAAGUAUGCAUGUAAAGUAGUUGCUGAAAGUAUAAGAAGAUUGUGCGUAGUUCACCUCCUCCUAUGCAGCAAGAGAUGGUGGGUGUGUAUGGAGAAUUUUCUAACCGUAGAAGGAACCAGUCUUCAUCGCAUCCUGGUUAGCAUCACCCAGAGCUGCCUGGCUCAUGUAGGUGUCAGCAAGCUGCACACGCUUGACAUUGUCCUGCUCCUGGACGAGCAUGUGCCCGUACUCUAGCAGCUUCUCGACUGUCAUCUUUGGCUGCUCGAAGGUCACGGGCCCGUCCCGCGAGUUCACCAGCCUCUUGCCAAUGUUCUCGAUUCCGGUAGAGCCGACCCACUUGCGCACCUCAUCGUCGUACACCCGAGCACGCAGAGCACCGAAAAAGUCUGUAUCGGAUCGAUGCAUGAUACUUUGUUAAUUACUGAUAUACAACUUGUCUGCCCUGAUGAAUAUAUAUAUAUAUAUUUGGAAACAAGAGAAAUAUACCAAUGGAUUGUCCUGGGAAGGUGUCGACGAUCUUGACGACAGACUCGUCACUGACAUUGUCGGUCUGGAAGAUACCCUUGCAGACACCGAUACGGUCGUCACGGGUGGGAGCCCAGUAGAACUUCUCCAUACGACCAUCACGGAUCAGAGGAGCGUAGAGCGUCGAGAAAUCGUUACCGGUGACGACGAUGGGCACACGGGGGUUCUCCUCCUUGUUGUACAUGCCAGGGAGCUGCACGUUGGUGGGGGCAUCGGCGAUGUUCAUCAGGGUGGCGUUCACCAUCUGGUUGUUGACGGUGUACUGCGUGGUUCCGCCCAUCCUACCCGCACCAGCGUCAAGAUCGUUGAUGAAGAGGCAGCACAUCUUACCCUUCUUGAUCAUGUCUGCAGCCUCACGGUACCGCUGCCUGAUGAGCUUGGCUGGCUCUCCAGCGUUCCCACUCUCCAGCUCUCCGGCACUCAUCAUGAUGGGGCUGUGGCAAAAAGCACAGGUCAUUAUCUAUUAUUACUAUUAUCUUAUACUCCCUCUGUUCUUAAAUAUAAGUCUUUUAAGCGAUUUCAUCAAGAAACUACAUACAAAACAAAAAGAAUGAAUCUACACUCUAAAGUAUGUCUAUAUACAUCCGUAUGUAGUCCUUUAGUGAAAUCUCUAAAAUGACUUAUAUUAUGGAACGGAGGGAGUAGUAUUUCUUUAGGGAGGAAGUAGAUGAAUGUAAAUUCUUACUUGAUGCCCAUCUUGGCGAACACAAGCUCACACUGGAAUGAUUUUCCUUGACCCUUGCCUCCCCAGAUACCCAAGAUGAGUGGGAUCUGAAUUUCGAUUCAAGGUCAGUUUCAGAAUCAGAAUGAUUCAUUUUAUUGCUGCUUCUGCUAAUAAUCAAUUAAAUUAAAUAACGAUGUCUGCAUGCAUCGAUUAAUUCAACCUCCUUUUUUCAAAAAAAGAAAAGAANNNNNNNNNNNNNNNNNNNNNNNNNNNNNNNNNNNNNNNNNNNNNNNNNNNNNNNNNNNNNNNNNNNNNNNNNNNNNNNNNNNNNNNNNNNNNNNNNNNNNNNNNNNNNNNNNNNNNNNNNNNNNNNNNNNNNNNNNNNNNNNNNNNNNNNNNNNNNNNNNNNNNNNNNNNNNNNNNNNNNNNNNNNNNNNNNNNNNNNNNNNNNNNNNNNNNNNNNNNNNNNNNNNNNNNNNNNNNNNNNNNNNNNNNNNNNNNNNNNNNNNNNNNNNNNNNNNNNNNNNNNNNNNNNNNNNNNNNNNNNNNNNNNNNNNNNNNNNNNNNNNNNNNNNNNNNNNNNNNNNNNNAGGUACCUUGAUGUUGGGCAGGGUCAUGAAGUUUUUGGAGAGAUGGACAACAAGCUUGUCCAUGAAAGCAGGAGCGAUGUAGAAGCCUCCCAUGGUGUUGUCGAAGUCGUACUUCCGCAGGCCCUGGCUGACGUACUCGUAGGAGCUGAGGACGGCCUCGUGGGUGCCGUCGCCCGUGGGCGCCUGGAAGAGCGAGUCCACGAUGCCCUUCCCUCUGGUGAUGUCCUGCUGGUCGUCGGAGAUAUCGUACGCAAGACCCUUCCACUUGUCGGUGUUCCUCUUCUCGUCGAUGUUCUCCGCUGCCAUGACUGUGAACCUGUUGGCCUUGGAGCUCUUGCCAUGGUAGUUCACGGCCGAGGUCACCUGCUUCUUGAGCUUCUUCCCGAGGAAGUUGGUCGGCGUAGAAGCCUGUAUACAUUACAUUACAUUACAUAUACACACAUGAGAUGCCGCUGAAGACACUGAUAGGAUAUCAUCACUAAGCAAGAGAUGCAAUCAAUCAAUCGAUCGAUCAGUGUGUGGUACGCACCGGAGCCCCGACGGUGGAGGAGAAGGCAGCAGCCAUCUCUGUGCUGCUUGGUCGACCUUGCUAGCAACGGUGGAUGCGCGCGGCUGUGCUGGUGAUCAGUGAUGAAUGACUGCUGCUGCUCAAAGUAUAGAGGCCGAGCUAUGUGACGCCUUAAAUACACGUGGAUUGGCAUAUUGCUGCUCUGCUGUGGGGAGCUUGGAGGAGGAGGCGGCAUACACACACCCCUGCUUGUGGAUCAGCCUCCCGAUCCCCCAGAGGCCACACGCUGGAGAUUGGGUUCUGAGCGUCUUGGCCGGCCGGUUGGAUGACUUGGACCGUCAAGACCAAACGCUGCAGCUGCAGCUGCAGAUACGUCUGCUGGCCAUCAAUUCCAUGGCCUUCCACGGCCACAGAAUCUAACCAUUCAUGCUCAAAUCAUCUCCCAUUUCUUCCGUGCCUUUCAUUUUUUCCUUUCACUCGGUCGCCCGUAUAUACUAUCUUGUUUAUUAGCCAAGCCAUGUCAUUGCAUAACCACAAAAAAAGGGUCUCUCGUUGCUUGUUGGAUGAGGCACCCAAGAUUGUAUUCUAGUUCCAAGUACCACAAAUUUGUUGCUGCCAUACAUAUACUGGUUUGUUGAUAACCAUCAAGCUAGGGAUGUCAUUUGGCACCACACAAAUCAAGUCCUGGUUGACAUCAAGCACAUGGGUUUGUACUUUUGUCUACUCCAAUAAAUAUUGCCACUUCGGUAAAAAAAAAUGAAGCGUAUUAAGAGAAAAGGUAGCCAUGCAGUUUUGCUUUGAUGAAAAGAUUAUAGAACGUGUCUAAUGUUUUCAUGUAAAUGUAAUUCGUGUUGCCUAGCUCAAGUUCCCUGCUGGUAUUCUCAUUGUUUGGGUCUAGUACAGACCAUUAAUUGAUCAUUACGAUGAAUGCGAGCCGUUUGGCUCGCACAAUCUUUGUCCAAUACACCUUCUAGUGAUGUUGUCCUUGUUAAUCAACUUUGUGGUGCAAAUUGGGGUUUCCGUAAUCCGUCAAAGGGAAAAUAUGUAUGUAUGUGAUGAGUCAUGACCCCCCACAUCCACAGUACUCGUACCUAAUCAACAAGCUUCAGAUGAUUUCCACAUAUGUGCUAAUCUUCCGACAAGUGCUAAUAUCAAGAGAUAUAUAGGUUGUUGGGACUUGGGACCCUAGCUUGCAUCCAUUGGAGAAAUGAUUAAGCGGAAAAUGACGAUUUAAGAACAUAUACAAUUCCUUUCUCUUUCAAGAAGAGACUUACAAUUGGGUUACCUGUGCGGCGAUGAAUCAAAAAGUUUGAGUGGAUUUCGGGUCCAAAAUAGUCCAACAUAUAUAUAGUGCAUGCAUGCAUCUUAAGUAGAGUAGGACCUUCUACUUGCCGUAGAAGGCACCGGUCUUCAUGGCGUCGUCGUUGGCUUGGCCGAGCGCCGCCUCGCUGAGGUACUUGUCGGCGAGCUGCACACGCUUGACGUUCUCCUGCUCCUGGACCAGCAUGUGGCCGUACUCCAUGAGCUUCUCUAUGGUCAUCUUGGGCUGGUCGAACGUGGGCGGCCCCUCCCUGGAGUUGACGAGGCGCUUGGAGAUGUUCUCCACGCCGAUCUCGCCGACCCACUUGCGCACCUCGUCGUCGUACACCCGUGCCCGCAGCGCGCCGAAGAAGUCGAUGGACUGCCCCGGGAAGGUGUCCACCAGCCUCACCACGGCCUCGUCCGGGACGUUGUCGGUGCGGAAGAUGCCCUUGCACACGCCGAUGCGGUCCUCGCGGGUGGGCGCCCAGUAGAACUUCUCCAUGCGCCCGUCACGGAUCAGGGGAGCGUACAGCGUCGAGAAGUCGUUGCCGGUGACGAUGAUGGGCACGCGGGGGUUCUCCUCCUUGUUGUACAUCCCCGGGAGCUGCACGUUGGUGGGCGCGUCCGCGAUGUUCAUCAGGGUGGCGUUCACCAUCUGGUUGUUCACCGUGUACUGCGUCGUCCCGCCCAUCCGGCCCGCGCCGGCGUCCAGGUCGUUGAUGAAGAGGCAGCACAUCUUGCCCUUGUUGAUAAUGUCGGCCGCCUCGCGGUACCUCUGCCGGAUCAGCUUGGCCGGCUCGCCGGCGUUGCCGCUCUCCAGCUCACCGGCGCUCAUCAUGAUGGGGUUGAUGCCCAUCUUGGCGAACACCAGCUCACACUGGAACGACUUGCCCUGUCCCUUGCCUCCCCAGAUACCCAGGAUGAGAGGAACCUUGAUGUUGGGGAGUGUCAUGAAGUUCUUGGCGAGGUGGACGAUGAGCUUGUCCAUGAAUGCCGGCGCGAUGUACAGCCCGUCCAUGGUGUUGUCGAAGUCGUACUUCCGCAGGCCCUGGCUGAUGUACUCGUAGGAGCUUAGGAUGGCCUCGUGGGUGCCGUCGCCCAUGGGGGCCUGGAACAGGGAGUCCACGAUGCCUUUCCCCCGAGUGAUGUCCUGCUGGUC
rnacentral:lncRNA from 1 species